UUAAACUUGUGUUUGAUUCAGACCAAUGCUUUACGGCAUAGACAGGGCGCCAGAAGCGCCCAAGCAAUCUUCCUUCCACGGGUUUACAAGGUUGAAGGCCAAAAGGCCAUUCGUUAAUGAUCCCUCCGCAGGUUCACCUACGGAGA
rnacentral:misc_RNA from 1 species